rnacentral:rRNA from 1 species
GACGAACGCUGGCGGCGCGCCUAACACAUGCAAGUCGAACGGAGUCAAGAGGAGCUUGCUUUUCUUGACUUAGUGGCGAACGGGUGAGUAACGCGUGAGUAACCUGCCCUGGAGUGGGGGACAACAGUUGGAAACGACUGCUAAUACCGCAUAAGCCCACGGAUCCGCAUGGAUCUGAGGGAAAAGGAUUUAUUCGCGUCAGGAUGGACUCGCGUCCAAUUAGCUAGUUGGUGAGGUAACGGCCCACCAAGGCGACGAUUGGUAGCCGGACUGAGAGGUUGAACGGCCACAUUGGGACUGAGACACGGCCCAGACUCCUACGGGAGGCAGCAGUGGGGGAUAUUGCACAAUGGGGGAAACCCUGAUGCAGCGACGCCGCGUGGAGGAAGAAGGUUUUCGGAUUGUAAACUCCUGUCGUUAGGGACGAUAAUGACGGUACCUAACAAGAAAGCACCGGCUAACUACGUGCCAGCAGCCGCCGUAA